AGUCGAGCGAGAAAGGGUAGCAAUACCUGAGUAAAGCGGCGCACGGGUGAGUAACACGUGGAUAACCUGCCUCAAAGUGGGGAAUAACACCGGGAAACCGGUGCUAAAACCGCAUAUUCUGAUGAGAUCUGCGGAUUUUGUCAGGAAAGGAGCAAUUCGCUAUGAGAGGGGUCCGCGGCUGAUUAGCUAGUUGGUGAGGUAAUGGCUCACCAAGGCUUCGAUCAGUAGCCGGUCUGAGAGGACGGUCGGCCACACUGGAACUGAGACACGGUCCAGACUCCUACGGGAGGCAGCAGUGGGGAAUUUUUCGCAAUGGGGGCAACCCUGACGAAGCAAUGCCGCGUGGAUGAUGAAGUAUCUCGGUACGUAAAAUCCUUUCGACGGGGACGAAACCGCAAGGUUGACGGUACCCGUAGAAGAAGCCCCGGCUAACUCCGUGCCAGCAGCCGCGGUAAUACGGGGGGGGCGAGCGUUGUUCGGAAUUACUGGGCGUAAAGGGUGCGUAGGCGGCUUUCUAAGUCGGAUGUGAAAACUCUGGGCUCAACCCAGAGCCUGCAUCCGAAACUGGAGAGCUAGGGUUCUGGAGGGGAAAGCGGAAUUCCUGGUGUAGCGGUGAAAUGCGUAAAUAUCAGGAGGAACACCGGUGGCGAAGGCGGCUUUCUGGACAGAUACCGACGCUGAGGCACGAAAGCUAGGGGAGCAAACAGGAUUAGAUACCCUGGUAGUCCUAGCCCUAAACGAUGGAUACUUGCUGUGGGGGGGGAAUUGAAGCCCCUUGUGGCGAAGCUAACGCAUUAAGUAUCCCCGCCUGGGGAGUACGGUC
rnacentral:rRNA from 1 species